GUACGGGAGGCAGCAGUGGGGAAUUUUGGACAAUGGGGGCAACCCUGAUCCAGCCAUUCCGCGUGAGUGAAGAAGGCCUUCGGGUUGUAAAGCUCUUUCGGCGGGGAAGAAAAGGCGGGCUCUAACAGAGCCUGUUCAUGACGGUACCCGAAGAAGAAGCACCGGCUAACUACGUGCCAGCAGCCGCGGUAAUACGUAGGGUGCGAGCGUUAAUCGGAAUUACUGGGCGUAAAGGGUGCGCAGGCGGUUAUUUAAGACAGAUGUGAAAUCCCCGGGCUCAACCUGGGAACUGCGUUUGUGACUGGAUAGCUAGAGUGCGGCAGAGGGGGGUGGAAUUCCACGUGUAGCAGUGAAAUGCGUAGAGAUGUGGAGGAACACCGAUGGCGAAGGCAGCCCCCUGGGCCAGCACUGACGCUCAUGCACGAAAGCGUGGGGAGCAAACAGGAUUAGAUACCCCGGU
rnacentral:rRNA from 1 species